rnacentral:rRNA from 1 species
UACAGAGGUCUCAAGCGUUGUUCGGAUUCAUUGGGCGUAAAGGGUGCGUAGGCGGCGCGGUAAGUCGGGUGUGAAAUUUCGAGGCUUAACUUCGAAACUGCAUUCGAUACUGCCGUGCUAGAGGACUGGAGAGGAGACUGGAAUUUACGGUGUAGCGGUGAAAUGCGUAGAUAUCGUAAGGAAGACCAGUGGCGAAGGCGGCUCACUGGCCCGGUACUGACGCUGAGGUGCGAAAGCGUGGGGAGCGAACGGG